CUCUGCUUGCUCUUGUAAGACCCCCUUUCGGGGACCCCCACUCUAGUCUCAGGAGUGAGAGAGCACCCAAAGAAACACGAGGACCC
rnacentral:pre_miRNA from 7 species